rnacentral:rRNA from 1 species
UACGGGAGGCAGCAGUGGGGAAUAUUGCACAAUGGGCGCAAGCCUGAUGCAGCCAUGCCGCGUGUAUGAAGAAGGCCUUCGGGUUGUAAAGUACUUUCAGUCGUGAGGAAGGUGUUAAGGUUAAUAACCUUAGCAAUUGACGUUAGCGACAGAAGAAGCACCGGCUAACUCCGUGCCAGCAGCCGCGGUAAUACGGAGGGUGCGAGCGUUAAUCGGAAUUACUGGGCGUAAAGGGCACGCAGGCGGUUAAUUAAGUUGGAUGUGAAUCCCCGGGCUUAACCUGGGAAUGGCAUUCAAGACUGGUUAGCUAGAGUCUUGUAGAGGGGGUAGAAUUCCAUGUGUAGCGGUGAAAUGCGUAGAGAUGUGGAGGAAUACCGGUGGCGAAGGCGGCCCCUGGACAAAGACUGACGCUCAUGUGCGAAAGCGUGGGGAGCAAACAGGGAUUAGAUACC